GGCUGUUUUGGGCUGACGGAACCAAACCAUGGGAGUGACCCCUCGUCCAUGGAGACAAAAGCACGAUACAAUCCCUCCAGUAAAACCUACACAAUGAAUGGAACAAAAUCAUGGAUCACAAAUUCCCCUAUAGCGGAUGUAUUUAUUGUGUGGGGUAAGUGUGACAAGGAUAAUGACAAAAUCCGAGGGUUUAUCCUGGAGAAAGGGAUGAAAGGCCUGACUGCUCCAAAGAUCGAGGGAAAGUUCUCACUGAGGGCCAGCAUCACUGGACAGAUCGCCAUGGACGAUGUAGAAGUCCCCGAGGAAAAUAUGCUGCCUAAUGUCAUGGGCUUAGGGGGCCCAUUUGGCUGUUUGAACAAUGCUCGGUAUGGAAUUGCCUGGGGAACACUUGGUGCAGCAGAAUUCUGUCUGGAGACCGCCAGGCAGUACACUUUAGACAGAAUACAGUUUGGAAAACCUCUAGCCAAAAAUCAACUUCCACAGAAAAAAAUGGCGGACAUGUUAACUGAAAUCUCAAUUGGUCUACAAGCUUGCGUACAGGUUGGAAGACUAAAAGAUGAGGGAAAGGCAACACCAGAAAUGAUCUCAAUGAUCAAGAGAAACUCAUGUGGCAAGGCUUUGGAUAUUGCUCGAGUUGCACGAGAUAUGCUCGGAGGAAAUGGAAUCUCAGAUGAAUACCACAUCAUCAGACAUGUUAUGAAUCUGGAAGCUGUCAACACAUAUGAAGGCACACAUGACAUCCAUGCCUUGAUUUUGGGUCGAGCAAUCACUGGGCUCCAAGCUUUUACCUCCGACUGAAUGAACUAUAAAGAGUGGAGUGUUGACUUUAUUGUGUCUGUGAUAUAUAUCAAAAAGAAAAAAGAAGUCAACAGCCGAAAAACUUCAAGUGUUUGAAAUUUUAUUUUUGUCAUCUAAAAUUAAUAAGCCUAUAAUUUAUGAUUCUGGAAAAUCUGAAAUGGACAAAACUGGUUUUUAUUUACUAGUCUAAUAUUUUUUUUUAUAGAUUUACUGGAAUUUGUCUCAUGUGGAACUUGUGUGCUAAACUAUAGUAUUAUGAAUUAAGGUACAUGGUACAUUAUGGUACAUUUUUAUCUUUUAAAUGCUGAUAAAUGCAUUAAUUUUCCAUGUCGAAUCCGAUAUUUUUUAUAACCUAUCUCUAAAUUUUGUUUAUAGAAUUUCUACAGAUUUGAGUUAUUGAGUUUAUGUUUAUUUUGGAGUCAGAUAUUAUUGAUUUCUAUCAUGAUUUUGAAUUUAUAUGUAUAUAUACAUGUAUGUUUAUUCAAGGAAAUUCUGAAAAUA
rnacentral:misc_RNA from 1 species